AUUGAACGCUGGCGGCAGGCUUAACACAUGCAAGUCGAACGAGUGGCGGACGGGUGAGUAAUGCAUGGGAACGUAGCUUAUGGCGGGGGAUAACUACGGGAAAGUGUGGCUAAUACCGCAUACCAUAGGAUGGGCCGAUGUGGGAUUAGGUAGUUGGUGGGGUAAAGGCUCACCAAGGCAACGAUCCCUAGCUGGUCUGAGAGGAUGACCAGCCACACUGGGACUGAGACACGGCCCAGACUCCUACGGGAGGCAGCAGUGGGGAAUUUUGCGCAAUGGGGGCAACCCUGACGCAGCCAUGCCGCGUGUAUGAAGAAGGCCUUCGGGUUGUAAAGUACUUUCAGCAGGGAGGCGGUACCUGCAGAAGAAGCACCGGCUAACUCCGUGCCAGCCGCCGCGGUAAUUC
rnacentral:rRNA from 1 species